GAUGUGCCCAGAUGGGAUUAGCUUGUUGGUGAGGUAACGGCUCACCAAGGCGACGAUCCCUAGCUGGUCUGAGAGGAUGACCAGCCACACUGGAACUGAGACACGGUCCAGACUCCUACGGGAGGCAGCAGUGGGGAAUAUUGCACAAUGGGCGCAAGCCUGAUGCAGCCAUGCCGCGUGUAUGAAGAAGGCCUUCGGGUUGUAAAGUACUU
rnacentral:rRNA from 1 species